UACGUAGGGACCAAGCGUUGUUCGGAUUUACUGGGCGUAAAGGGCGCGUAGGCGGCAAAUUAAGUCAUCUGUGAAAUCUCCGAGCUUAACUCGGAACGGUCAGGUGAUACUGAUCUGCUAGAGUGCGGAAGGGGCAAUCGGAAUUCUUGGUGUAGCGGUGAAAUGCGUAGAUAUCAAGAGGAACACCUGAGGUGAAGACGGGUUGCUGGGCCGACACUGACGCUGACAGCGCGAAAGCCAGGGAGGCAAACGGG
rnacentral:rRNA from 1 species